GGUAGCAUAAUCAUUUGUCCUAUAAUAGAGGGCUGGGAUGAACGAGUAAACGAUACUUGCACUUUUUUAGUUAAUUUAUAGAAAUUAAUAUUUAUGUUAAAAUGCAUAACUUCUUAGAUAGACGAUAAGACCCUAUAAAACUUUAUUUAUACCUGUAUAGUAUUUUUAGUAAGACAUAUUAAAUAGGGGUGAAUUGGGCUGGGGCGGCAACUAAAAUUCAUUAGAAUAGAAAACACUAAUUAGUGAAUAGAAAGAUCUUUCAUGGAUCUAGACUAAGUUACUUUAGGGAUAACAGCGCAAUUUUUUAUACCCCAGGGUAUAAAAAGACUUGCGACCUCGAUGUUGAAUUGGGGGGCCAGUUUUAUUAUUUAAGACAUGGGGGUCUGUUCGACCCAUGAUUCCUCACACGAUUUGAGUUCAGACCGG
rnacentral:rRNA from 1 species